rnacentral:rRNA from 1 species
GACGAACGCUGGCGGCGUGCCUAAUACAUGCAAGUUGAGCGCUGAAGGUUGGUACUUGUACCAACUGGAUGAGCAGCGAACGGGUGAGUAACGCGUGGGGAAUCUGCCUUUGAGCGGGGGACAACAUUUGGAAACGAAUGCUAAUACCGCAUAAAAACUUUAAACACAAGUUUUAAGUUUGAAAGAUGCAAUUGCAUCACUCAAAGAUGAUCCCGCGUUGUAUUAGCUAGUUGGUGAGGUAAAGGCUCACCAAGGCGAUGAUACAUAGCCGACCUGAGAGGGUGAUCGGCCACAUGGGGACUGAGACACGGCCCAAACUCCUACGGGAGGCAGCAGUAGGGAAUCUUCGGCAAUGGACGAAAGUCUGACCGAGCAACGCCGCGUGAGUGAAGAAGGUGUUCGGAUCGUAAAACUCUGUUGGUAGAGAAGAACGUUGGUGAGAGUGGAAAGCGCAUCAAGGGACGGUAACUACCCAGAAAGGGACGGCUAACUACGU